rnacentral:rRNA from 1 species
AGAUUGAACGCUGGCGGCAUGCCUAACACAUGCAAGUCGAACGGGAGUAGCAAUACUCUAGUGGCGGACGGGUGAGGAAUGCGUAGGAAUUUGCCCUUAAGUGGGGGAUAACCCGGGGAAACCCGGAUUAAUACCGCAUGACCUCGAAAGAGCAAAGUGGGGGAUCGCAAGACCUCACGCUUUUGGAGAAGCCUACGUCGGAUUAGCUAGUUGGUGAGGUAAUGGCUCACCAAGGCGACGAUCCGUAACUGGUCUGAGAGGAUGAUCAGUCACACCGGAACUGAGACACGGUCCGGACUCCUACGGGAGGCAGCGAGUGGGGGAAUAGUUGGGAACAAGUGGGCGCAAGCCUAGAUCAGCAAUGCCGCGUGUGUGAAGAAGGUCUUACGGGUUGUAAAGUCGUAACUUUAAGUAGGAAAG